UACGUAGGUGGCGAGCGUUGUCCGGAUUUACUGGGCGUAAAGAGCGCGCAGGCGGUCGUUCAAGUCGCGUGUGAAAGCCCCCGGCUCAACUGGGGAGGGUCACGCGAUACUGAUCGACUCGAAGGCAGGAGAGGGAAGUGGAAUUCCCGGUGUAGUGGUGAAAUGCGUAGAGAUGGGGGAGAACACUCGUGGCGAAGGCGGCCAGCUAGACCAGUUCUGACACUGAGGCGCGACAGCGUGGGGAGCAAACGGG
rnacentral:rRNA from 1 species